GAACUGGCUACCGGCGUAGGUCUGGCCGAAGCUCCAACCGGAGGGAGCCACGUUGUUGGACGUGAUGGUACGGCCGUCGCUGGUGGUGACCCGGAAGGACAGCGGCUGGCCGUUGAGCAUGGCGCCGUUCUGCCAGUUGGCGCCCCAGUUGUGGCUCAUGGUCAGCCAUCCUGUGCUAGGAGAUUUCACGUACACCGCCGUCAGGUCGCCGGCGCCGGCAACGUUGGUGAUGAGCACCAGAUUGAAGUAGGAGUGGCCGGUGAUGGUGAACCGGAUGCCACCCAGCUACAGUCACCGAUGCGAUGGGUACCUUCUGUACUGGACGGGCACGACGCCGGCACGGGCCUGGGCGAUCUUAGUGAACAUAGGCUCAGCGAGGUCGAAAUGCGACUGCGGCGGGUUGCACCACCCGCCCUCGUUGUUGGGGAGUGCGUAGUUGGCCGGGCAGAGGUUGGUGGCCGUCACGACGGCGGAGCCCGGCAGGCAGCUCCCGCUGCCGGCGCACCGGAUCUCAAAGCACGCGCCGCAGCUCUGCCCGUUGUUGAACAGCGCAGUGCUCAGCGCCGCCGU
rnacentral:rRNA from 1 species